GACGAACGCUGGCGGCGUGCCUAAUACAUGCAAGUAGGACGCAGUUGCGAACGGGUGAGUAACGCGUCGGUAACUAACUAUUAGAGGGGGAUAACUAUUGGAAACGAUAGCUAAUACCGCAUACUAGUAUAUGGACCUGCGUUGUAUUAGCUAGUAGGUAGGGUAAUGGCCUACCUAGGCAACGAUACAUAGCCUACCGGAAAGGGGGUGCGGCAACACUGGAACCGAGACAGGGCCCGGACUCCUACGGGGGGCAGCCGUAGGGAAUCUUCGGAAAUGGGGGGAACCCUGACCGAGCAACGCCGCGUGAUUGAAGAAGGUUUUCGGAUCGUAAAGCUCUGUUGUUAGGGAAGCGGUACUGAACCAGAAAGGGACGGCUAAGUACGUGCCAGCAGCCGCGGUAAUAC
rnacentral:rRNA from 1 species